GAUGAACGCUGGCGGCGUGCUUAACACAUGCAAGUCGAACGGAAAGGCCUUGCUCUUGUGGGGUGCGCGAGUGGCGAACGGGUGAGUAUGACGUGAGGAACGUGCCCUCGACUUUGGGAUAACUUCAGGAAACUGGGGCUAAUACCGGAUAGGAGCUCCUCCUCCAUGGUGGGGGUUGGAAAGUGUCGGCGGUGGGGGAUGGACUGGCGGCUUAUCAGGUGGUUGGUGGGGUAGUGGCCUACCAAGGAGUUGACGGGUAGUCGGCCUGAGCGGGGGACCGGCCACAUUGGGACUGAGGUACGGCGCAGCCUGCUACGGGAGGCAGCAGUGGGGAAUAUUGCACAGCGGGCGGAAGCCGGCUGAAGCAGCGCCGCGUGCGGGAUGUCGGCCUUCGGGGUGUAAACAGCUUUCGCCUGUGACGAAGCGGGAAUGACGGUAAUGGGUGAAGAAGCACCGGCUAACUACGUG
rnacentral:rRNA from 1 species